rnacentral:rRNA from 1 species
ACGGGUGAGUAACACGUGGGUGACCUGCCUUCGAGUGGGGGAUAACAUUCCGAAAGGAGUGCUAAUACCGCAUGACAUCCUGCCUUUGAACAGGCGGUGAUUAAAGCCGGGGAUCGCAAGACCUGGCGCUUGAAGAGGGGCCCGCGUCCGAUUAGCUAGUUGGUGGGGUAAUGGCCUACCAAGGCGACGAUCGGUAGCCGGCCUGAGAGGGCGGACGGCCACACUGGGACUGAGACACGGCCCAGACUCCUACGGGAGGCAGCAGUGGGGAAUUGUUCGCAAUGGGCGCAAGCCUGACGACGCAACGCCGCGUGGAGGAUGAAGAUCUUCGGGUCGUAAACUCCUUUCGAUCGGGACGAAUGGCUGG